rnacentral:rRNA from 1 species
GACGAACGCUGGCGGCGUGCUUGACACAUGCAAGUCGAACGGAAAGGCCUGCUUUCCCUUGUGGAUUACGGGUACUCGAGUGGCGAACGGGUGAGUAACACGUGAGUGAUCUGCCCCCAACUUGGGUAUAAGCCUGGGAAACUGGGUCUAAUUCCCGAUAGGACUGCAGGGUGGUGCCUGUGGUGGAAAACGAUUUUCUAGUGGUUGGGGAUGAGCUCGCGGCCUAUCAGCUUGUUGGUGGGGUAAUGGCCUACCAAGGCGGCGACGGGUAGCCGGCCUGAGAGGGUGGACGGCCACAUUGGGACUGAGAUACGGCCCAGACUCCUACGGGAGGCAGCAGUGGGGAAUAGUGCACAAUGGGCGGAAGCCUGAUGCAGCGACGCCGCGUGGGGGAUGACGGCCUUCGGGUUGUAAACUCCUUUCGACCGCGAGGAAGCCACCUGGUUGGAAGGGUGGUGACGGUAGUGGUAGAAGAAGCACCGGCUAACUACGUG